UGCAAGUCGAACGAUGAUCCGGUGCUUGCACCGGGGAUUAGUGGCGAACGGGUGAGUAACACGUGAGUAACCUGCCCUUAACUCUGGGAUAAGCCUGGGAAACUGGGUCUAAUACCGGAUAUGACUGAUCAUCGCAUGGUGGUUGGUGGAAAGCUUUUUUGUGGUUUUGGAUGGACUCGCGGCCUAUCAGCUUGUUGGUGAGGUAAUGGCUUACCAAGGCGACGACGGGUAGCCGGCCUGAGAGGGUGACCGGCCACACUGGGACUGAGACACGGCCCAGACUCCUACGGGAGGCAGCAGUGGGGAAUAUUGCACAAUGGGCGCAAGCCUGAUGCAGCGACGCCGCGUGAGGGAUGACGGCCUUCGGGUUGUAAACCUCUUUCAGUAGGGAAGAAGCGAAAGUGACGGUACCUGCAGAAGAAGCGCCGGCUAACUACGUGCCAGCAGCCGCGGUAAUACGUAGGGCGCAAGCGUUAUCCGGAAUUAUUGGGCGUAAAGAGCUCGUAGGCGGUUUGUCGCGUCUGCCGUGAAAGUCCGGGGCUCAACUCCGGAUCUGCGGUGGGUACGGGCAGACUAGAGUGAUGUAGGGGAGACUGGAAUUCCUGGUGUAGCGGUGAAAUGCGCAGAUAUCAGGAGGAACACCGAUGGCGAAGGCAGGUCUCUGGGCAUUAACUGACGCUGAGGAGCGAAAGCAUGGGGAGCGAACAGGAUUAGAUACCCUGGUAGUCCAUGCCGUAAACGUUGGGCACUAGGUGUGGGGGACAUUCCACGUUUUCCGCGCCGUAGCUAACGCAUUAAGUGCCCCGCCUGGGGAGUACGGCCGCAAGGCUAAAACUCAAAGGAAUUGACGGGGGCCCGCACAAGCGGCGGAGCAUGCGGAUUAAUUCGAUGCAACGCGAAGAACCUUACCAAGGCUUGACAUGAACCGGAAAGACCUGGAAACAGGUGCCCCGCUUGCGGUCGGUUUACAGGUGGUGCAUGGUUGUCGUCAGCUCGUGUCGUGAGAUGUUGGGUUAAGUCCCGCAACGAGCGCAACCCUCGUUCUAUGUUGCCAGCACGUGAUGGUGGGGACUCAUAAGAGACUGCCGGGGUCAACUCGGAGGAAGGUGGGGACGACGUCAAAUCAUCAUGCCCCUUAU
rnacentral:rRNA from 1 species